rnacentral:misc_RNA from 1 species
UGCCGCGCAUCGUCGGACGUGCAUCGUGUCGGUCGCGCUCGUGUGCGAGCAAUCGAGACAUGUGAUUCGAAUCCGUCGUGAUCCCGGAGAAGGAUGAAAUAGGAAAAAUGACGAGGAGAUGUCCUACGGUCAUAAACGGCCUAAAGUGAGUCAAGAAGAACGUGAGGAUUCUCUGCGGAGGCAGGAUCGGUCGAUAUUACGCCCGGAUCUAUGACAUUCUCACGUGGAUAUCCUGUAAAAUUUUUUCCGAAUUGAAACCUUUCCCGAUAAUCGAAUCCUACGAAUGGAAGGUUCGCGACAUUCGAAGAAACAUUCUGGAAAUCAGACGUGGCGCGACGUUUCCGGCGAAAGGCUUCGAGUCGGAAGGAAAUCGUAUAAGAAUUACGAUAAAAAAGUGUGGAAGAAUUACGAUAAAAACAGUGCCUGACAUAGUCGAGUUAUACAAAUCGUUAUUGUGAUCGUUAAGUGAAGUAUAGAGAUUCUACUUAUUUACGAAGCUACAGCGAGAUUCGAUAUCUCUAAUCUGCGGAGAGGGACGCAAUUAUCGAGAAAUUCGGAGAAGCUAAUCAUCAAGAUAAUCAUCAUAUAAAGGUAAAAGAAUCUGUGGUGAUCAGUGGUUUUAGGAAGGGAGGCACAGUGGUAACUUGAAAAAAUGGCGGAAGACUAUUUUCGCCGGAAAACCAGAUCGGCUUCGAUUUGUGCCCCAGGAUUUUCCAGCAUGGAGCAAAUGUUGGAAGCUAUGCCACCCUCGGGAGUUCGAGAUCGGGAAAGAGGGGAACGGGAAAGGGACAGUGGCAGCGGAACGCCGGAUGGCAGUACACCUACGAGAAGACGGAGACCGGCUACAAGAUCCCAAAGCGCCCGUGUUUCCGGCGGAAAUAAAAGCAUCCGACGUCGUGCCGCCGCUCAAGCCGCCGCUCAUCAUCAUCAUCAUCAUGAGGGAAGCAGCAUGAAGUCAGCUCACUGCAGCAGCGAACCUAGACUGACCGAGAAUGACGUCAGUCCAGGGAUCAGGAGACGAGGGAGCCGAAGGGGACAGAGCAUGCACCAUACGCAUCAGAGGAAGAGCAACGCCUUCCUGGAUGUGCCUGACGUCUCGUCUCAGAUACCACCGCGGGAGGAAGGCGAGGAUGAGGAUAGUUACAGACUCCGUAGCUUCAGUCUCACCAGCAAAGGUGGUGUCGUCAAUAGAGGAGAUUCCUUUAGGAGAAGAAGAUCGAGAUCGAAUUCUCUGGCGCCUGCCGAUCAGGAGAACGAGGAACGACGACUGCCGCCCAAGGAAGUAACUUCGCACAACGUCGCUAUGUUAGGUAUGAGGGGAGUUGGAAAAACGGCCCUUAUCAGUCAGUUUAUGACCAGCGAAUGUAUAAAUGCCUACGAUAGACCAAAAGACGUGCCAAGUGAGCAAUCCGUUUUUGUGAUGCUGAAUGGUGAAGAAAGCGAGCUUAAAUUUUUAAAUAUAACUAAUGUUAAGACCGAACUGGAAAAGAUGCCAUUGCCAGACGCCUUCGUCGUAAUGUAUUCAGUGAUCGACAAGGCGUCCUUUCAAAGGGCCGAGGAAUAUCUCGCUCGACUUCACGAUCAAGAUCUUCUUCGUGCUAGACCGGCUAUUCUGGUCGGGAACAAGGUCGAUUUGGUUCGUUCCAGAGUGGUUUCGCCCCAGGACGGAAAAUGCUUGGCGUGCACCUACCGGGCGAAAUUCAUCGAAGUGUCGGUGGCUAUCAAUCACAAUGUCGACGAGCUUUUGGUUGGCAUACUCAACCAGAUCCGUUUAAAGGUGGUCCAGGAAAACCGAAACAACGGCGGCAGCGAAGGUAGUGCUCAUUGGUACAAAUCCAGAGGCGUCGUGCGCGCCAGUAUGAAAGCCAGGCAGAUGCUGACCUGGCUUUUUGGCAAAGAGGACAGCAAAUUCAAGAAUUGCGAGAACCUCCACGUACUUUAAGUCUCUACUAUAAAAAGAAUCGCAGUCGGGCUGUCCGAUCACUAUUUCAUUAGUACUUCCAGGUGUGACUGAGCGUUGCUUACCAGUAACUUCCUUGAUAUAAACUUCGUCCUCCUACCUUUUGAAAAAUUUAAUUAGUGCUAAUAAAUUACUUAUUAAAAUCUUUAUUCAAACAAUGCUGAAUAUACAGAUUACUUGUGACGAUUAUAUGUAACUUUAUUUUGAAAAUAACUUAAAAUUGAAGGAAUUAACGUUCUAACAAAUUCCGUUACACAUUUCUCGUUGCUUAUUCUACCUGAUCGUACACUUUUCGUUAGCAUUCUACACUUGUUAAAGAGAAUUAAAGCUCUAUAGCAAAACAGGCACUUAAAUGUUGCGUAUUUUUAAUUUUAUAUAAUUACGAGUGGCGCUGAAUUCGAUGGCCCUUAAUAAUACAAUCAAAAGUUCAAAUCGAUAUCGUGAUACGAUAAGAAAACAAAUCAAACUGGACCACAGCGCGAAUUAGUCGCCAUUAAGUUUACAAUUACUGUAUGAUAAGACCGGUUAAUUUUUUAUUUUGUAUAUGUAUAUAAAUAACGAAGUUACAUAUAUAAGCGUGUACUUGUGCAAGCAUCUAUACAGAUAUAUUCAACGUGUACAUCCCUAAUUUUCUCUGGACGAGUGUCGAUUCUACCACGUGAUGGCAUUGUAUCAACGGCGUUUGUAAACAAAAUACCGCUGCUAUCCUCGCAUCGCUAAAUUGGCUUGCAUCGCUAGUGCCAUUAAUUUCUCGCGUUCCAAUGGGCUUCCCGCAGUCCGUUAUUGUGCAUAAGGCCAUACAACUUAAUGCAAUACGCUAAUGUUACUUGACAUUAAGUUGUAUAUAAAAGUCAUGAGGUUACUUUGCUAUCUAAUGUACUUAUUAGAAAAAAAUAGAGCGUAAAGCUGCCUAUAUAUGUUGCUAAGAUGUUUCCUACGCUAUUGAGCGGAUCUAUACGUCGCGCGUGCGUGAAUAAUUUUUAUCAGCUGUAUUUCAAAGUAGAUAAUUACAUCGAUUGCGUAUUUUAAUUCCAGAUACGUUAAGAGUUGUCAUACAACCGUGGAUUAAGUAACAUUUAAUUAGCGGUUUGAGGUCUGACAUUGUAAAUUCCUUAAUCGAAUAUUCUAUCAAUUAUUUUAUAAUCCGUUAUUUUGUACCGAUAUGUGUGAUACCAAUAUUAAUAUAGGUCAUAGUUUAUGCGGCAUUUUGUGUGCAAUGUUCUGCCGCAAUGGAAAUCAAAUCCAUCAUGUUGCGUAUUUCCCUCGCGCGCGCCGCGAGAAGAUGGGUACAGCGGCGGCGUAUGUACUCAAAAUUAUAGUCUUCUGAAGAGAGAGAUAUCCUUUUUGAAUUUUUAAGGAGAGUAUCUAUUUUCUGCGAACUCUAUGCCUGUGUAUCCGAAUUAUACGAAUGUAGCAUAAAAGCUGAAUGCGUAGAUCUGUAUACCUAUAUACAUGAUGGGAACAAUGCGCGAAUGAUGUGCAACUUUGUCCUUCUCGUAUGAACGUUUCAUUGUCUCUAGACUACGUGUAGGAGAAAUUAACGUUUCGGAUUACAGUAGUAAAUUAUGGACUUCCUUUCUCUCGUUGUAUGAAUAUUUCGGAAGGUAUUUUGACUCUUGCUAAAUAAAACUCAAAAAGUUUCUUCUGGCAUUCUUCGUUAUCGUCGUUAUCAUCGUCGUGCAAUUAAUUCGAUCGUCAGCAUCAAAUGCGAGUUGCGACGAAUACGGUGUGUGAACUUUUGAGUUUAAGAAUUUAUCCCAAAAUGUUUCUCGUUCGAGAAACGGAAGAUUUUUAUCAAGUGCCUUUGCGUAUUUUUGUAAUUUAAGCUAACUCAGUGUAAGCCCCAUGAGUAUCGCAUUGUAUAAUCUAUUAUUAUACAUAUAUUACCGAUAUAUUUCUUUGUUGUUAAUUCAUCAUGUUACCUGUGAAAUCAUUACGUUGCACACUCUCGGUGGCGUAACUUUUUUUAUUAAAAAAGUAUACAAUUAUAAUAUUCUCAUCUUACAACUCAUUAAAAUGUCAAAGUGAUAAAUUUGCUUUUACCUAAUUAAAACACAUUUAAAGUUACGCCGCCGAUAAAUGUCCUUGUUUAUUCGUAUUAUUAGCACAUCUCCCGAAAGCUGUAAAAUGUAACUUAGUUACUAAAGUAUUAUCAUUGUGUCUGCUCGCUGUAAUACGUGACGUGACAAUACUGCCAGUUCUUUUGAUUAAUAAAAUGCUUUAAAAAA